rnacentral:rRNA from 1 species
UAAGGAAUAUUGGUCAAUGGAGGCAACUCUGAACCAGCCAUGCCGCGUGCAGGAAGAAGGCCCUAUGGGUCGUAAACUGCUUUUGAACAAGAGAAAACCCCGGUACGUGUACUGGGUUGAUAGUAUUGUUAGAAUAAGCAUCGGCUAACUUCGUGCCAGCAGCCGCGGUAAGACGAAGGAUGCAAGCGUUAUCCGGAUUCAUUGGGUUUAAAGGGUGCGUAGGCGGACUGAUAAGUCAGUGGUGAAAUCUCUCGGCUUAACCGAGAAACUGCCAUUGAUACUGUUAGUCUAGAGUACAGAUGAUGUGGGCGGAAUAUGACAUGUAGUGGUGAAAUACUUAGAUAUGUCAUAGAACACCGAUUGCGAAGGCAGCUCACAAAACUGUAACUGACGCUGAGGCACGAAAGUGCGGGGACCAAACAGGAUUAGAUACCCACGUAGUCCCUGAGCGGGCUGGCAAGGCGCAU